CAGUGGGAGCAUUUAUGGAGCUGAGUGACGGACGUCUGGUGUCGGAGUAUUGUCGCUUCCACAAGUGCCUGUCUCGCCUGCCUGUUUCUUUUGUGUUGGCCUCCUUGGAUCUGUGACGGAGAUUUACCUCGCGCCAGCCUGUGACCACUGCCAUACCUGUAUUUCUGUGUUUCAAGUAGCUCCGGUGCGCCAUCUAUCCUCCCGCAUACCUCGGCUCCGUUUCAUCCCCUCGGCUCUGUCUCCUCGCACAUUUACCCUGUC